rnacentral:lncRNA from 1 species
UAACUAUGUUCAUAUUUUAUAUAAAUGAAGUAGAUUAUAUGCGCACCGACUGUUCCUAACGCAAGUAGUAAAAAACUCGAUGAUUGGUAUCCGAGAUCUCAAGUUCUAAUCCUAAUUGAUUCACAUUUUCAGCUAAGUUUGUUUCUUUCACAUUUCCAGCUAAGUUUAUUUCUAAAAGAAAUAAACGAUGAGCUAUCUUUAUAUUAAAAAAUGUAUUUAAGUAUUUGAUUUUUUUUUAAAUUUUGAUUUUGCUAUCUAAUCUUCUAAUUUUUUUGAAUUGAGUCGGUCAAUGAUACUUUUAUUUAAAAAUUUAAAUUAU